rnacentral:rRNA from 1 species
AACGUAGGUGGCAAGCGUUAUCCGGAAUUACUGGGCGUAAAGGGCCAGUAGGCGGCCAACUAAGUCCGACGUGAAAUCCCAAGGCUUAACCUUGGAACUGCGUCGGAUACUGGAUGGCUUGAAUUCGGGAGAGGGAUGCAGAAUUCCAGGUGUAGCGGUGAAAUGCGUAGAUAUCUGGAGGAAUACCGGUGGCGAAGGCGGCAUCCUGGACCGACAUUGACGCUGAGGCACGAAAGCGUGGGGAGCAAACAGG